GGGUUACGAUGUCGAUUUGGAGGUUGUGCCCUUGAGGCGUGGCUUCCGAAGCUAACGCGUUAAAUCGACCGCCUGGGGAGUACGGCCGCAAGGUUAAAACUCAAAUGAAUUGACGGGGGCCCGCACAAGCGGUGGAGCAUGUGGUUUAAUUCGAUGCAACGCGAAGAACCUUACCUACUCUUGACAUCCAGCGAAUCCUGUAGAGAUACGGGAGUGCCUUCGGGAACGCUGAGACAGGUGCUGCAUGGCUGUCGUCAGCUCGUGUUGUGAAAUGUUGGGUUAAGUCCCGCAACGAGCGCAACCCUUAUCCUUUGUUGCCAGCGGUUCGGCCGGGAACUCAAAGGAGACUGCCAGUGAUAAACUGGAGGAAGGUGGGGAUGACGUCAAGUCAUCAUGGCCCUUACGAGUAGGGCUACACACGUGCUACAAUGGCGUAUACAAAGAGAAGCGAACUCGCGAGAGCAAGCGGACCUCAUAAAGUACGUCGUAGUCCGGAUUGGAGUCUGCAACUCGACUCCAUGAAGUCGGAAUCGCUAGUAAUCGUGGAUCAGAAUGCCACGGUGAAUACGUUCCCGGGCCUUGUACACACCGCCCGUCACACCAUGGGAGUGGGUUGCAAAAGAAGUAGGUAGCUUAACCU
rnacentral:rRNA from 1 species